GUGAAUCAUCGAAUCUUUGAACGCAAAUUGCGCCUUUUUCGAAAGGCAUGUCUGUUUGAGGGCACCAUUUAACAAAUAAUGUGCAGCGGUUUUUGUUGCACACGUUGAUGAGCUUCCCAAGAAUUUUAAAUUUUUGGUGGCGCAUAAUGAACAGCGUGAAGCUUUUUUUUCAGUUCGAGUGUAGUGAAACUUUGCUUGGGGUGGUAAAAGCGUAAUCGCGCAAUGGGUGUGGCAAUUUUUUAUUAUCCCUGCCCCAAAUCCACUCUUUCUCCCGAAA
rnacentral:misc_RNA from 1 species